GGUAAUUGGCGGAUGACACCAGAAGGUUUUUGUCCUUGCUCCACUUGAGAGUGAUUGGUAGGUCGAAGAUGUGGAGCGGCUGAGACGGCGGUGCGGGAACCCUGACAUCCAUAGCACACUAACAAAAGCUCUUCGAAACGGCAUCGUUUGAUUUCACGAAGCCCGUACUCAGUUUCUCUGAAAUUGGGGUUUUUUAUUUUGUUGUUGAUUUAGAUAAAUUAUAGUUG
rnacentral:lncRNA from 1 species